rnacentral:rRNA from 1 species
AUUGAACGCUGGCGGCAUGCCUUACACAUGCAAGUCGAACGGUAACGGGCCUUCGGGUGCCGACGAGUGGCGAACGGGUGAGUAAUGUAUCGGAACGUACCUUUCAGUGGGGGAUAACGUAGCGAAAGUUACGCUAAUACCGCAUAUUCUGUGAGCAGGAAAGCAGGGGAUCGCAAGACCUUGCGCUGAUUGAGCGGCCGAUAUCAGAUUAGCUAGUUGGUGAGGUAAAGGCUCACCAAGGCGACGAUCUGUAGCGGGUCUGAGAGGAUGAUCCGCCACACUGGAACUGAGACGCGGUCCAGACUCCUACGGGAGGCAGCAGUGGGGAAUUUUGGACAAUGGGGGCAACCCUGAUCCAGCCAUGCCGCGUGAGUGAAGAAGGCCUUCGGGUUGUAAAGCUCUUUCGGCCGGGAAGAAAUCGCAUGGGUUAAUACCCUGUGCGGAUGACGGUACCGGCAUAAGAAGCACCGGCUAACUACGUGCCAGCAGCCGCGGUAACAC